rnacentral:lncRNA from 1 species
AAGAUCAGUUUGGCAUCUUCUUUUAAAAAAUUGUGAACAAAUCUUUCCAUUUAAAGCCCUACCCUAUUCCACCCUUCUAUCCAGAAAUACAAUUCCUAAGCUUUUCUGAGGUUCUAAAAUAGAACUGCCUCUCUCUCUUUCCCCUCUUUCUCCCUUUCUUCCUGCCUACCUCCUUUUCUUUCUCCCUUAUCUUCUCACUCCUUGGCUUAACUUUAAUCAAUCCAGCUUUCAGUUUCCAAAAGUGUUUUGAUAUCAUCAUCUGUUUUUGUCUCCUUUUUCAUUUUUGCUUGUGUAGUACGAUUUAAAAAAUAUAUAAAUAUACUGUCAUUUAAAUGGUGUUUCAGAAAGGAGUAGAGAUAAACACAGGUUUAAUCCACUGUAUUUUAAAAACCUCAUUUUAUGAUAUGACCACCCAUUCAAGAAUAUGUCUCCAUUUAUUUAAGUCAAAUCUACUAAUUAAAUUUAAUGUUUGUCUUCAUAGAGAUUAAAUGCAGCUUUUAUUAAGUUACAUUCUAAAUAAUGCAGUUUUUCCUUGUUAUUUAGAAUGAACUCUCUUUUUCCUUUCUAUUUUCUACCUAGUUAUAACUUGGUGAUAUUACUUUAGUGUACUUAUAUCUGGAAAAUUUAUUAAACUCAUUGGUUCUAUAAUUUCUGCACUGGUUGUUUUAGAUUUCAUAGCAUAUAAUCAUUUUAUUCAAAUAAUAUUUUAUCUCUCUAUGUGUUUUAUUAAUCUAUUAUGUUUCUUUUUCUGUUUUUAUGUAUAAAAAUAUUCAAAAACAUUUAAAAUAAUAUUGGUAAUAAUUAAUAUCCUUAUUUGACCCCUAAUUUGGAAGGAAUACUUUUAGUAGAGUUCUAAUGGAUAUAAUAUGGACUUCUGUUUUGAAAUGUCAUUAUUUUUAGAAUGUAUUUUAAGACAAACUAAAAAACUGAAAAAAACAUGUCCAAAGUUCACAGAAGCCAACUUUAAAGGGGCUCCAUCUGGACAUAUUUGGGACACUCAUGUCCCCAAUCAAAUAAAUAAUGAUAAAAAUGGGUUAUAACACACUGAUUUAAAAACAGUAAUCCAUAAGUCACAUCGAUACAUAAAUUAGAAAACAGAUGAUGGGAAAGUGCUUUUUUAUAGAAGAAUGCCUGCUAAUAAAUGUAGAAAGUAUAUGAGGAAUGGAAAAUUACUUUUAUUUACAAUAAAUCAAUUCAGGCAAUAGUCACCAGUUGAUGCUAAAAUUGUUGGGUAAAAAAAUAAAAAUAGAAAUAUAAUUAUCUUCUUUAAUAAAAAUAAAAUUAUAUGGAUCAAUUCACAGAUAACUUAUUAAUAAGAAAGAUACUUACAAAAUGGAGAAAUCUGGCAGCUACCAUCUUAACUAUAUGAUUAAAUUUCACAACACCAGUAAAGGACAGUGUCGCAUCACGUGCCUCCUAAUAUGUUGUACUUCAGAAGAGGAAAAGGUGCCUCUUUUGUUAUAUUCCUGACAAUAAUGUGUAACCUAAGUAGAAUCCUCAGACAAAUUUGAAAUGAGAGGAAGAGUCUGGAAAGCAACUGACCUAGACUCUUCCAAAAUGUCAGUGAUGUGGAAAAACUAAACAAAAGUAGGGAAUUUCUCUAACUGAAAAGAGAAUGAUGAUUGUUUGGAUCCUAAUUUUAAAAAGAAAACAAUAAAACAGCAAAACCAACAGAAGGUUAGAGUGCCUUGGAGACAAAUGGCAAAAGAAAUACAGAUUGUAAAUUAUAUGCAGUAUCAGUGUAAAGUUUCCUGAACAUGAUAAUUAUAUCAUCGCAGUUAUGUAGAGUGUCACUGUUUGGUGAUACAUACUGAAGUACAUAUGGAUCAAGUGCCAUGGACUUUUACAAGUAACUCUCAAAUGGUUCAGCAAAAGCAGUGUAUGUAUGCUGGUGGCUGCAGCUCCGAUUUGAUCCCUAACCUGGGAAUCUCCAUUUGCCGAGGGAGCGGCUAAAGAAAUGGCAAAAAGACAAAAAAAAAAAACUAGGAAAACAGAUGUAACUGCAACAUCCAGAGAUAAUCAUUUCAGUGCUUAUCCUUCCAGAUCGUUCUCUUUAGGGACAUCUGUUUUUUAGGUGAGUUCAUAUGGUAUAUGCCCCUUUACUUGAAAUUUUUUUCAUUAACAAUAUAUUGUGGACAUCUUUCCAGAUUAUUUAAUUUUCUUCUAGACUAUUAUUUUAAGUAGCUGUACAAUAUUGUGUAUUUGUUCCAUGACUUAUUCAAAUAGCUUCUGUUACUGAUUUAAUUUUUUUAUUUUACUAGUGUUCUUAUUACAUUGAUGAAAUAAAAUCUUUGGUCACAAUUUCUUUUAAAUAAAAAAUAUAAUAGCUAGAUCAAAGAGGUUGAAAUUUUAAAAUUUUUAUACGUAUUGCUUAACUGCUUUUUUAAAAAGUACUCUAUCUUGAAAUAGCUUAAUAUAAUUUUUAGAGAAAACCAAUAAAGAAAGUGGCUGGUUUAAAUACUGAGAACUCUACAUAAUCUCUUAGCAAUCUAUAACAUUGUUGGUUGAUUUUAUGAAGGUGAGAAUAAAUUAGUUAUUUCCUGCUAUCAUUAGGAAUAACAUUAAAAAUUUCCGGUAUAAAUUGAAAGUGAGAAAGAGCAUAAGACAUUUUACCAAUAUUAUAAAAGCUAUGAGUUUAUAUAGGAAACAAUUUGAUGAAUGUAGUCUUUCCUUCUUUUUUCCCAAAAUAGAGAUGUUUUUAUUAAUAUUCUAAAUAAUAAAAAUAACAUGAGCUCAUGUUGCAAGUCUGUUUUGCAAGUGGCUUUUAUAAAAGUCUUGCUAAAGUCUUCCCAUAUUACUACAUAGAUUUCCCUUACUCUGUAAUUCCCGAAUACUAUAUGGUAUGGUUAUAUCAUAUUUUAGUAAAUAAAUUCCUCAUUGGUAGUUAUUUAGAUUAUUUUUUACUCAGUUACAAAUAAUAAGUAUAUUUUUUGUCUUUUACAGACAUCCAUGUGCUUUAUUUAUUCCAUGAAAUAAAUAUAGCUGUAGCAGUAGAACUGUUAUUGAUAACAAUGUUUGAUAAAAUAUUUGAUAAAAUUGAUAUCAUUGUUAUUGAUAAAAUGAUAAAACUCUGAGUUCUGGAAUUAGAGCUUGAAUACUACCCUCCAUCACGGACAUGCUGUUUAACUUUGGCAAGCUAAUUGAUCUUACCAUUAAAAUGACAUGAAAUCUAAUGGUUGAGGAAUUCUGUAUCCUCUCCUAAUAAUGAAAUUCAUGUAAGGCAAUUACUUUGUACCUGUUGUACUUGGCACAUAGUAAGUGCUAAAAUAACCCUAUUGUUAACAUAAAUUUUUUCUUUAGUGAAUUUUCUGUUCAUUUCUUUUGGACAGUUUCCUUUUAUUUUAUUAAUUAAUUUUUGUAUCAAGAAUAUUUACUAGUGGAGUUCCUGUAGUGGCACAGCAGAAACAAAUCUGACUAGUACCCAUGAGGACAUGGGUUUGAUCCCCGGCCUCCCCCAGUGGGUCAGGAAUCCAGCGUUGCCCUGAGCUGUGGUGUACAUUGCUGAUGGGACUUGAAUCCCGAGUUGCUGUGGUGGCGGUGUAGGCCAGCAGCUGUAGCUCUGAUUCGACCCCUAGCCUGGGAACUUCCAUGUGCCACAAAUGCAGCCUUUAAAAGAAAAAAAUCAAUAGUCCCUACUAUAAAUUAAAAAUAUUUUUUCUCAAUUUAUCAUGUCUAUAUUCUAGUUUAGUCAGAUAUGUUAGUCUUUUAUGAUUUCUGGUCUUAGUGUCAUGCUUAGAAAGGAAAUCUCUACUGCAAGAUUUUGUUAAUCCUGUAUUUUCAUCUAGAGAUCUUAGUUUUAUUUUCUAUGUUUAAAUAUUUUCCUCUUUUGUGUGUGGCUAGUACUGCUUCUCCUCCAUUCUCUCCUCUAUUCCCCCAAGGGACAUAUUGGAAAUGUUAGAGUCCUUUUUAAGUUAUCACCACAAUUGAGAAAGCACUACUGGUAUUCACUGGUCAGGAGCCAGGAAUGUCUGCCAGACUCCUUCUGUGCACAGAACUUCUCUCAGUAAAGAAUUUCCGCAUACUCUCAAUCUUACCUUUGCUUUCUGCCAACAACAAACAUCUGAAAACUAAGCAUCUAAGAAUUAAAAAUAAAAAUAACUGGAUUUAAUUCAUUGCUUUGCAGAUUAACUGAGUUUAAAAAUAGUAACACCUGAAUUACAGAGAAAACCUGAAUUUCAUGUACCGGGGGAGUGUUUAGAUUAGUACAACCAUUUUUCGUUGUCUUAUUGUUAAUUGCUCCUUUUCCAUGGUAGUAUAUUCUUGUUUAUUGCCACAAUACCCCUCAAAUAUAACGGAAAACAAAACUAGAAAAUUUCAGUUACCUCUCCUGUUUCUUGCGUUAUUUCUCCUCAUUGAGUAUCAUUUGCACAGCUUGUUCACCUUACUCUCCUUUUUGAGCUGCUGAUUUUCUUUUUAUAGCUAGUGAUUUUUAUUUGUAUAGAUAGAUCUUCAUUAGUAGAAUUGAUGUCUCUUUUAGGUUUCUUCAGCAGAUUGGUAAGUCUGGUUGAAGGGAUUCCUCAGCAGAACUUGGCUGGGGAACUGAACUUUUAUGACUUAAUAUGAUCAAUUUGUAAAAUAGAAGUUCAGUCCUUUUCCAUACAUCACAAUGGUCAAAAAGUCAUUCCUUCUUAUUUUAUACUUUUUUUUAUAAUAUAUGUAAGAUAAAGUAGUUUGAGUUCAUAGCCUUCUGAUGGUAAAAGUUUAAGAAUACUACUUAAAAGAGUUGAAAAAGAUAUAGCUUACAAAUAAUUUUCCAUAAACAUCAUUUCUCUUAGUGGGUUUCUUUAAAGGUAAUUACCCACAAGAG